rnacentral:rRNA from 1 species
CCUACGGGAGGCAGCAGUGGGGAAUUUUGGACAAUGGGCGCAAGCCUGAUCCAGCAAUGCCGCGUGAGUGAAGAAGGCCUUCGGGUUGUAAAGCUCUUUUGUCAGGGAAGAAACGGUGAGCUCUAAUACAGUUUGCUAAUGACGGUACCUGAAGAAUAAGCACCGGCUAACUACGUGCCAGCAGCCGCGGUAAUACGUAGGGUGCAAGCGUUAAUCGGAAUUACUGGGCGUAAAGCGUGCGCAGGCGGUUUUGUAAGUUUGUCGUGAAAUCCCCGGGCUCAACCUGGGAAUGGCGAUGAAGACUGCAAGGCUAGAGUUUGGCAGAGGGGGGUAGAAUUCCACGUGUAGCAGUGAAAUGCGUAGAUAUGUGGAGGAACACCGAUGGCGAAGGCAGCCCCCUGGGUCAAAACUGACGCUCAUGCACGAAAGCGUGGGGAGCAAACAGGAUUAGAUACCCUGGUAGUCCACGCCCUAAACGAUGUCUACUAGUUGUCGGGUCUUAAUUGACUUGGUAACGCAGCUAACGCGUGAAGUAGACCGCCUGGGGAGUACGGUCGCAAGNUUAAAACUUAAGGAAAUUAGACGCGNGNGAGNGCGACGACGACGACGAGGAGGAGGAG